AGGGCGCACGGUGGAUGCCUUGGCACUAGAAGCCGAAGAAGGACGUGACUAACGACGAAAUGCUUUGGGGAGCUGUAAGUAAGCGCUGAUCCAGAGAUGUCCGAAUGGGGGAACCCACUAGUUAAUGACUAGUAUCCAUAUCUGUUAAGGAUAUGAGAAGGAAGACGCAGUGAACUGAAACAUCUAAGUAGCUGCAGGAAGAGAAAGCAAAAGCGAUUGCCUUAGUAGCGGCGAGCGAAACGGCAGGAGGGCAAACCGAAGUGUAAACACUUCGGGGUUGUAGGACUGCGAUAUAGGAUUAAUCAUUAUAGAAGAAUUACCUGGGAAGGUAAGCCAAAGAGAGUAACAGCCUCGUAUUUAAAAUGAUAGAUUAACCUUAGCAGUAUCCUGAGUACGGCGAGACACGCGAAAUCUCGUCGGAAUCUGGGAGGACCAUCUCCCAACCCUAAAUACUCUCUAGUGACCGAUAGUGAACCAGUACCGUGAGGGAAAGGUGAAAAGCACCCCGGGAGGGGAGUGAAAUAGAACCUGAAACCGUGUGCCUACAACAAGUUCGAGCCCGUUAAUGGGUGAGAGCGUGCCUUUUGUAGAAUGAACCGGCGAGUUACGAUAUGAUGCGAGGUUAAGUUGAAGAGACGGAGCCGUAGGGAAACCGAGUCUUAAUAGGGCGCCAUAGUAUCAUGUUGUAGACCCGAAACCAUGUGACCUACCCAUGAGCAGGUUGAAGGUGAGGUAAAACUCACUGGAGGACCGAACCAGGGCACGUUGAAAAGUGCUUGGAUGACUUGUGGGUAGCGGAGAAAUUCCAAACGAACUUGGAGAUAGCUGGUUCUCUCCGAAAUAGCUUUAGGGCUAGCGUCGAUGUUAAGUCUCUUGGAGGUAGAGCACUGUUUGGGUGAGGGGUCCAUCCCGGAUUACCAAUCUCAGAUAAACUCCGAAUGCCAACGAGAUAUAAUCGGCAGUCAGACUGCGAGUGCUAAGAUCCGUAGUCGAAAGGGAAACAGCCCAGACCACCAGCUAAGGUCCCAAAAUAUAUGUUAAGUGGAAAAGGAUGUGGGGUUGCACAGACAACUAGGAUGUUAGCUUAGAAGCAGCUAUUCAUUCAAAGAGUGCGUAAUAGCUCACUAGUCGAGUGACCCUGCGCCGAAAAUGUACCGGGGCUAAAACAUAUUACCGAAGCUGUGGAUGACACAAAAGUGUCAUGGUAGGAGAGCGUUCUAUGUGUGAAGAAGGUGUACCGUGAGGAGCGCUGGAACGCAUAGAAGUGAGAAUGCCGGUAUGAGUAGCGCAAGACAGGUGAGAAUCCUGUCCACCGUAAGACUAAGGUUUCCAGGGGAAGGCUCGUCCGCCCUGGGUUAGUCGGGACCUAAGGAGAGACCGAAAGGUGUAUCCGAUGGACAACAGGUUGAUAUUCCUGUACUAGAGUAUAUAGUGAUGGAGGGACGCAGUAGGCUAACUAAACCAGACGAUUGGAAGUGUCUGGUCAAACAGUGAGGUGUGAUAUGAGUCAAAUGCUUAUAUCUUUAACAUUGAGCUGUGACGAGGAGCGAAGUUUAGUAGCGAAGUUAGUGAUGUCACACUGCCAAGAAAAGCUUCUAGCGAUACAUAUACUCUACCCGUACCGCAAACCGACACAGGUAGUCGAGGCGAGUAGCCUCAGGUGAGCGAGAGAACUCUCGUUAAGGAACUCGGCAAAAUGGCCCCGUAACUUCGGGAGAAGGGGCGCUGAUUUUAGAUCAGCCGCAGUGAAUAGGCCCAAGCAACUGUUUAUCAAAAACACAGCUCUCUGCUAAAUCGUAAGAUGAUGUAUAGGGGGUGACGCCUGCCCGGUGCUGGAAGGUUAAGAGGAGUGCUUAGCGUAAGCGAAGGUAUGAAUUGAAGCCCCAGUAAACGGCGGCCGUAACUAUAACGGUCCUAAGGUAGCGAAAUUCCUUGUCGGGUAAGUUCCGACCCGCACGAAAGGCGUAAUGAUUUGGGCACUGUCUCAACGAGAGACUCGGUGAAAUUUUAGUACCUGUGAAGAUGCAGGUUACCCGCGACAGGACGGAAAGACCCCAUGGAGCUUUACUGCAGUUUGAUAUUGAGUAUCUGUACCACAUGUACAGGAUAGGUAGGAGCCUAUGAUAACGGGACGCCAGUUUCGUUUGAGGCGUUGUUGGGAUACUACCCUUGUGUUAUGGCUACUCUAACCCAGAUAGGCAAUCCCUAUCGGAGACAGUGUCUGACGGGCAGUUUGACUGGGGCGGUCGCCUCCUAAAAGGUAACGGAGGCGCCCAAAGGUUCCCUCAGACUGGUUGGAAAUCAGUCGUAGAGUGUAAAGGUAUAAGGGAGCUUGACUGCGAGAGCUACAACUCGAGCAGGGACGAAAGUCGGGCUUAGUGAUCCGGUGGUUCCGUAUGGAAGGGCCAUAAGUGAUAAUUGCCUAGGAGAUACACCUGUUCUCAUGCCGAACACAGAAGUUAAGCCUUAGAACGCCGGAAGUAGUUGGGGGUUGCCCCCUGUGAGAUAAGGUAGUCGCUUAGCAAAGGGAGUUUAGCUCAGCUGGGAGAGCAUCUGCCUUACAAGCAGAGGGUCAGCGGUUCGAUCCCGUUAACUCCCAUAGGUCCCGUAGUGUAGCGGUUAUCACGUCGCCCUGUCACGGCGAAGAUCGCGGGUUCGAUUCCCGUCGGGACCGUAGACUCGUUAGCUCAGUUGGUAGAGCAAUUGACUUUUAAUCAAUGGGUCACUGGUUCGAGCCCAGUACGGGUCAUUUAGAAAUGCGGGUGUGGCGGAAUUGGCAGACGCACCAGAUUUAGGAUCUGGCGCUUAACGGCGUGGGGGUUCAAGUCCCUUCACCCGCAUUAGUAGAUUGCCGGCUUAGCUCAGUUGGUAGAGCAUCUGAUUUGUAAUCAGAGGGUCGCGUGU
rnacentral:rRNA from 1 species